rnacentral:misc_RNA from 1 species
UACGGAGGGGGCUAGCGUUGUUCGGAAUUACUGGGCGUAAAGCGCGCGCAGGCGGUUCCUUAAGUCUGAUGUGAAAGCCCACGGCUCAACCGUGGAGGGUCAUUGGAAACUGGGGAACUUGAGUACAAAAGAGGAAAGCGGAAUUCCACGUGUAGCGGUGAAAUGCGUAGAGAUGUGGAGGAACACCAGUGGCGAAGGCGGCUUUCUGGUCUGUAACUGACGCUGAGGCGCGAAAGCAAGGGGAGCGAACAGG